rnacentral:lncRNA from 1 species
GGAGGGUGCGCUACCUAUCAAUCCAAUUCAUGCAAUCUAGCAAACCAUGGCAUAAACCAGCUAUCAACUUGGAUAGAGCCUUGGAGGAGCAUACAAGCUUCUCCGUAUCCUGAACUAUCUCAUUGCUAACUGAAGGGGCCACUGUAACCCCAAGCUAGCUCGCCGGCGAUCAAGAGGAGAGUUCACCCCGCCCUUUGAUCGGUGACUAGCUACAUCAACGCCAUCAUCAACACACUGAAGCCUACCUACAUCAAGCACACAGUAUUCCAUGCCGAACGACAACACCACCGGUAUACAUCUAUUAUCCAUGUAUCUAGAAACUGUGAUCAUGUUUAGCCUAUGAUUUUUGUAGUCUCUUUGGCAAUCGUGCUUAGUUUUAUAACCAAAAUGCAAAUAAAAUAUAAAUAUAACAUGGACCCUUUGAAAAUUCCAUGGCACAUGGUAAAUAAAGGUUACUCAUGCUACUCCAAAAAAGCCUUUUCACAACACAUAGAUUUCUAGAAGUCCAAAAAUCCUGAUUUUAACGAAAGAAUCAUACAAAAUAUAUUAUUAAGUAAGACGAAGAUAAACUCUAUAUGAAAAUUGCAUUGCUCUACAAGCUAUAUAACUUUGUAGUCACUAAUAUUUAAAUUUGUGAUAGUUUAGGAGACCAAAUAUUUGUUACAAGUGCUCAGACAUAUUUAAACCAACAAAUAUUUGAAUUUUUCAAAUGACCUCAUACAUAUAUAAGCUCUAUAUCAAAGUUAUAGACCAUGAUGACAUCUACAACUCUUUUCAUGAAAAGAUUUUGCUGCUGCCAAGAAGCUGCUAAAGUUUGACUGUUAGCUGCUGUUUGGGAGCAGCAAGAAGCACACCCGAACACUCUAGUUUGUAUCAUCAAGUAGGUAAUAGGAAGUAUACAGAGGUGAUGUUAAAAUAUAAAAUCUCCCAAUAAGUCAUAUAUACUUUAGUGCACAUGAGAUGCUAAUGAUGUGGCUAGCUACAUAUAGAGUAAGAGGUCCAAGAUUUGUAUCCCAAAUACCUUAUUUAUGAUUAUGCUACACAACAAAUCAUGCGAUGUGCCCUCUGAGGGGGCAAAUUAGUCUAUUACUCGUCCCUUAAUCUGUUUAAUUUCAAAAUUUUUAAGUAUCCCUUGUAUUCGAGGACACAGCGAGUAUUCCAAAGAUUAAUACAAUUUUUACGAAAAAUAAACUUUUCUAGAUAGAUAUAUCAUGAAACUUAAACAAAAUUACACUCUUGUUGUCAGUGCAUGUCACAAAACUAAAAUUUUCCGCUCAUUCUAUUCUAAAAAAUUACACACUUUCGCAUAGUUUGGAAGAUAGUCCUCUGAUGCACAUUGGUAAUAAAUGUGUAGUUUCAAUUAUUGUAUGAGAAUAAUAGAAAUAUAGUUUUUGCGACAUAUAUCAGUUUAUUGUUAUUUUUUGACAUUUACUUUAACUGCCAUACUAUGGGAACUACCUACUGUUCAAUCACUACAAAAUAGGCCUCACUAUAUGUCUUGGUCACAACCUAGGAGGCCUGUGCUUCACAAUUGUGAUUUUUUAUAUGUCUCCUAACAGUUUUUUUUAAAUAAAUGCACGGUCCCUAAUUAAAGAGGCCAGGACCAAUAUCUGGUUUAUAUUAGUAGAUGGAGACUAUUUAGCUCGGCCUUCAGGCCCGUUUAAACUCCAGUAGCUUUCUGACUAUGAGACAGAUUGAGUGCAGAUUGGCUAGAAGUCGAAUCUUCUAUCUUUUUUCUGAUCUUUCCCUUUAAAGAAACUCAUGUAUUUCCAUUUUCUCUAUAAAUACAAAUGUGGUUUGACGUACCAAAAAAAUAGUAGACAGAUAGAAAUAGAGAAUUAAAAAAAAUAAAUGGAAAUAGUGAUUUUGGACAGUUGAACUGUAUCUCAAUACAAACAUGAAUGCAGAAAUUGCCUAACUGUCUCAGUAAUGUGGCUAAACAUAAAAUAUGAGCAAUUCCAACCAUCAACCACCUUUCCAAAGACAUAGGAGAGAAGUGUAGCACCAACUACACUUAGAUUUUGCUUGCAUGUGUUGUCGGAUUUACCUCAAUGGACAUGUGUUGGUUUAGGGGGAUUAAAGUGGUACAUCCAACUAGAUGCAAACAAGGCCUUACAGUGGAAUUGGUACCAAUGGCUGAACAUUGAAUUAAUGUUAGGCAGUCAGGCAAGUGUCGCAAAAAUUGUAUAAGUUGGUUUAUGUAAUUGUUCAAUUUUGUUGCCCUGUUCAUUCUCUGGUACGGUCACCCACUAGGACACAAACAUUAAUGGAGGCGUUCAUUUUGGAUUAAUGGAGGUGAGCGUUGCAACCACAUCUAACAAAUGGUCACGGUUAAUCUGUGAACUAUGGAUGCGGUUGCUUUUGCCUGCCUCAGUAAAUAAAGAAACAGAGACAGGCGUCUUGUAAUCACCCGCCUUGGUUAAUGGAUUAAAAAACAAAAAAAAAGAUCCCACCAGCGGGCCCGUUUCUGAGCUCACCGGUGAGCGCACUCGUAGCCCUAGAUCCAGGUACACCACUGUGAACCAUGAUGCUAGUGCCAUGAGCUGAAUCCACCACUCGGGGGGGCGUGCACCACUAGAUCUGCCACUCCAAAUUGCACUGUUGCUCCGGUUGCAUGCCGCUCACAGAGAACCAAGCGAAGGUAAGGCAAGGCCAACACUUGAGGAUGUGGGGGAGGGGUGCUCACCUCUCUCCUCUUAGCCUCUCCACAUCUAUUACAUAGGAGAGGGGAGCUGCCACCGCCAUCGGAUCCGCUGCGGGAUGGCCACUGCCAUUGCUCAAGGAUGUGAGGACCACGAGGGACCGCCCCGCGUUCUCGCUACACCACCGGAUGGAGAGGGGCGGCCUCAGGAGGGAGACGAAGGCCGCCACCGACCGGUUCUAGGAGGGGGUGGCCGCUAACCACCAGAUCUGGGAGGGGAGUCCACCACCCUCCGAAUCUAGGAUGGGGGAGGAAGGAGAGCCCCACUACAUCACCGUCAAUAGGGAGGGAGGGAGUUGCACUGCUGGAGGUAGAGUGGCGGCUACCAGAUGGAGGAAGGGUUGAAGGGAGUUGGCAUCCAUGCGCCCAUGGAGAGAGAAGAAGGUGAGGGAGAGGGGCACCACUCGGAGGGAGGGGUAGAGAGCAUCGUUCGGCAAAGGAGGGAGAGAGAAGUGUGCUCAGGAGAGAGCCCCACUCCGCUGAGGGAGAGGGAGGCGAAGUGAAGCAACAAAACCUAACAUCCUAUAUUAAUGUCGAAGAUGGCUAACGUGCCUCGACUGGGCCUAUUAGGCCUUGGCCUUUUUCAUGGGCAGGCUUUAUAGUGUGUCCGUCUCUAAAAAAAAGAUUUAUGAAGACGUGCACCUUAAGGCGACCUCCUCAAAAAAUAGUCGUAAGGUGCCCGCCUCCAUAUGAGUCCAUUUAUGGAGGUGGCCAAAAGUGAUCGCCUCCGUAUAUGAAAAUGCCCACCUCCAUUAAUUGUCUAGGAUUUUCCGAGGCGAUUGGAUUUUGAGAUGAUCUCCAUUAAAUAAAGUGCAAGGCCACUCAAAAUCAAGUAUGUAUAGUAGUGACCAGCCACCAUAUAUUGGUGUUUUACUGCAAUCGUCAACGCAUUCAAUCUUUCGUUAACAAAAAUAUACGGUAGCUAGUUAACAAGAACAUAGCUAGCUACUAGUUAACGAAAUGGUACACAAUUGGGAUAGAAGGAUGGCUUCAGUCAGUAGAACAUGAUGGUGCUUAUUCUUCACUGUAACACACGUAUUUUGUACCCGCGCAUUGCCACACCACAAAUAGAGUAGAGAAAAUAAACAAUUAAGAGGUAAUGUUGUAGGUGGAGCGUUCAAAUGUUAUUAUGCAAAUACUUUAACCAAUAUUAUCUAUAUCGAGGAAUUUUAUGGUAGUUGGAGAAAAUAGGAACUCUCUCCCAGGCAAUGAUAUCGGAAAGUACCAAACUGGUAGGACCGGUACCAAAUAUACAUGGAAGGAUACUUAAUUUAAUUAUUAUUUUAAUAAGUAAAAGGCAUAUAGGUAAUUUCAUAUAUCUGUAAUAUGACAUAUCUGGACUGAAUUUACAUUUUCACCCCCAUUGGUGGGGUUAGGAAAUUAAUGAUAGGGGUAUACAAUUACUACAAUACCCUUAUCUAUUAAAUUAACAAUUAAUUCUUUAUUUCAAUUUAAAUGGUGAGAUCACUGGUCAUAAAAAAUCAAAAGGCAAUGACACCUGAUGGUACCGUCCAACCACUAUAAAACAGCUCAUAUCGAUCAAUACUAGAUAGAUGUCCAUGCGUUGCACCAGGAUUCAAUCAUUUUUAAAUUUGCAAAUAUUAUAAUAAGUUAAUAAAUGAUUUUGCAUUUGGUUCAAAUCCAUCCAGCUGGGUGAAAUCACGGUUGGUUGAUCAUUACUGGUUUUAGCCACGAACCAAUAGUGAUAAUGGAUCAUCAUUGUGCAUUCAUGGCAUGCAAUCAUCGACGGAAUGGGGCAGCAGUGCAAAUAUUGAUGGAAGUGGAUUUUUCUAGAGCUUUUUUAGGUUCCUGUUCUGGUCUGGUCGAUUACUUGGGUUCAAUUCAAUCUGUUUUUGUAGAGAUUUUUUUAGUAGAUGGCUGUAGAUUUUUUUUUUCUUUCGGGCUGGUCCCGGUCCAGUCCGAUCCUAGUUUUUUUUUUUUUACGGAGACUUUUUUUUACCAGAGACUUCGAUCUGCCGGACAUGGAUGAUUUCUCCACAAAUUUAUCAGCAGGUGUAUAAAUAUGUCCACAAAUGUACCAUGUUUUUCGAAUGCAUACAAUCCACAAAUUUAAACUUUCACUGUACCAUGUAUUUGUAAUCAUUGGAUUUGUCAUAAAAUAUGUUUUCAUCACAUUGUACAUCCAUAUUUUUAUUCAAAUUUUAUGUAAAACGUUGUAAUAAUGUAACAUCCAAAAUUUGAAUUUCAAUUAAUAGGAUUUAAUUUGAAUUAUUUAAGAAUUUUAGUGAGCAUUUAAUGUAGCAAAUAAACAAUUUUGUGGAAAUUUAAAAUUUAUCAUAAGCUUAGUAACAUGAUUUUGUGCAUUCAUGCUGAGACAUAUUUUAUUUUGUGUUGAUUGUAUUUAGUUUAUAUUUAAUUGUCCUCAAAAUCCUUUUUGAAAAAGGUUUUUUUUAAAAAAAAAAGAAUAAAACAAAACAGAAAAAAAAAAGGGAAGCCUUCCAGGCCGAAGCCCAGCUCCUUCCCAGUCCCGGCCCAGCGCGCCCCUUCUCUCUUCUCUUCCUUGGUCGCUGACAGCACGGGCCCACACGUCAGCGCCCUUUCCUUCUUCCUCCCUGGCGAGUCCAAGCCGGUCACGAACAGCAGGCUAAAUCCAAUCCGGGAGCGCGAUUUCCUUGCCGUUUUGCACGAACCGAGACCCUAUAAAGCAUCCCGUAGCGCCCCACAUGUUCCUUUCGCAUCCAAACCAACUAAAACCGUGCCCUAGCCACCUCUAUCGGCGUUUUGGAUCUUGCCGAGGACCGCAUUCUUUUCCCGUCGCGACGCGAGCUCCUCCCGUCGUUCUUCGGCCCCAGCAAAGCACCUCCUCGAGUUCGCGGUGAGCUCCUCGUUCCGAUGGUGUUUUCCUUUCGCGAAACGGUGCUCGGAAUCGGGAAGCCCGUCGUCGCCGGCGAGCUUCUUCCGGCCGGCAAUGGAGUCCACCGUGCCGGAGCUGGGGAAUCGGCCGGCCACCGCCCUGCGCCCCCUCUGGCUGUUUUGGACCGUCGGAUUUGAGAUCAAAGGCCAAGAACAGAAGAUACCCUUUCGCCUGGAAAUCUUCAUUAAGAGUCCCUGCAACUUUUCUUUAUUUACUCCGCAGUCCAAGGUGUAAUCACCAGUUUACGUUUUCGUUUUCUAAAAGCAUAUUUCCUCCGGUUUGAUUCAAAUACGUUUUGCAGAAAUUACAGAAUUGCCACUGAUUUUAUAAUGCUCAUAAAAUAUCCAUUUUAACUCCGUUUUUGUCCAUUCAAAUUCCGUUGUAUUCGUAUUUACGAUCUCUACAUGUUAGAAAUAUUGGUUUACUGUUUUGAAACUUUUUAAUUCUGCAGUAGUAUUUAAUUAAUUAUUUCUUUAUAGGAAAUCUUAGAAAAUUCAUAUCUCUCACGUUUUAAUUCCGAUUUUCGUGAACUUUACGUUUGUGUGAUCGUAGCGCUGCGUAGAAAAUUUUGAUAAACUUUUAUAUUGGUUUUACCACUGUUUGGUGUAUUGUUCUAAUUAUAUCUUGUUUGCUUCGUGUAUGCUUGUCUACAUUGGAUUGCGUGUUGUUGAUUGAUGAUUGGGAUUAGACGGUGAGCCGUACGUUGGUGCUCAAGAUCAAGUAUUUGAAGACCAGCAGGCUCAGGAGAGCUUUGAUCAAGGCAAGUAUAACUUGGGAUUAUCCUUGUUACCUAUACACAAUUAAUAUAACAUUUAUCAUAUGCAUGCUAUCACCUUGAUGACCUUAGCAAAAUCAUAGAUGAUUGUUAUCCUGGAUUCCUUGUUACCUAUUUUGGAUAUGCAUUUGGUAGUUCUUGCUAGUGCUUGAUUAUUAAUCCAUGAUCUUGUAACAUGAAUAUUUGAAUAUACAAUAAACAAUAAAAUAAGCUUUCUAGCAACUUGAAUAUAAAGGGUGGAAAGAACUCUGGCUUUUGCUGGAUUGAUCUUGACCCUCCUUAAGGACUUAUCCCUUGGCAAAAGCUGGGACAACUCGUACAACCAUGAGGGCUAUAUGGCUCUGGCUUUAGUCAAGUAUGAGUAAGCUUUUCUAGCUUGUUAGAGGUUACCCGAAAGGGCGGAGGGGCUGAACCGUUUUGGGUAUAGUGCGAGCCCCUGUCCCUAUGUGUAUAGGCUGCGCGUCAUUGUGCCAUUCGGAAGGGGGGUAUCUAUAUCUGCGCGCAAAGGAAACCUUGCGGCCCUAACUUGUUAGACGAACCUUUGAAAGACUUCAUAGUGAACCCUGCCGACCUUCCUUGGUAGUGGGUUAAGAGGCUGAUCACCUCGGGCGAAAGGGUAAAUCACGACUCAAGGGUAAAGAUGUACAACCUCUGCAGAGUGUUAAAUCUGGUAUACUAGCCGUGCCCACGGAUACGGGCGGCCCGGAAAACUGACGGAAUAGAUGGACACUGAUGAAUAUGACUAAUGAUAAUAAAUGAUGGUUUAUUAUGUUGUUUAUAUGUGUUAUUCUUUAUUCUUGUAUACAUUGAUCAUGUGGUUAUGGGAUUUACUAUGCUACCUUGACAUUUGCUAGCCAAUGAUUAAAUAUGCUAUCAACUAUUAAAAGCUAAAUGCAGUCAAACCAGUGUCAGCUAUUUGAGCCUCAUGAACCCCUGGUUAUACUUGUUGAGUACGAUAUGUGCUCACUCUUGCAAUUUCCCAACACCUCAGGUUAUGAUAAUGAAGAUGACUGGAAUGAGGAUUAUCGUUAUGAGUACUAGGUUUGGAGUCAACCAGUCAACAGUGUCCCUGUGUGGAGCUUCCGUCGAGAGCGUUGUUUACUUUAUGCUAUCAUUUUUGUAUGAGACUAUGUGAUUCAAUAUAUAUUCCGCUAUGUAAUAAACACUGCAAUGGUACAUUUGAGAUUUGUCUACUUAUUUGUGCGACUAUUCCUGGGGCACAUAUGAGUCUUUUAUGCAUCCUAUUUUGUUCUUAAAAUAUGGGUGUG